UCGGGAAUAUUGCGCAAUGGAGGAAACUCUGACGCAGUGACGCCGCGUGCAGGAAGAAGGUUUUCGGAUUGUAAACUGCUUUAGACAGGGAAGAAAAAAAUGACGGUACCUGUAGAAUAAGCUCCGGCUAACUACGUGCCAGCAGCCGCGGUAAUACGUAGGGAGCAAGCGUUAUCCGGAUUUAUUGGGUGUAAAGGGUGCGUAGACGGGUAUGCAAGUUAGUAGUGAAAUCCCUCGGCUUAACUGAGGAACUGCUACUAAAACUACAUAUCUUGAGUACUGGAGGGGAAAGUGGAAUUCCUAGUGUAGCGGUGAAAUGCGUAGAUAUUAGGAAGAACACCGGUGGCGAAGGCGACUUUCUGGACAGAAACUGACGUUGAGGCACGAAAGUGUGGGGAGCAAACAGG
rnacentral:rRNA from 1 species